AGUGAACGCUGGCGGCGUGCUUAACACAUGCAAGUCGAACGAGAACGGAUUAUAGCUUGCUAUAAUUGUCAGCUAAGUGGCGCACGGGUGAGUAAUGUAUAGGUAAUAUGCCUCUUACUAAGGGAUAACAAAUGGAAACGUUUGCUAAUACCUUAUACUCCUUAUUAACAGAAGUUAAUAAGGGAAAGAUUUAUUGGUAGAGAUUAGCCUGUAUUGUAUCAGUUAGUUGGUGGGGUAAUGGCUUACCAAGACUAUGACACAUAACUGGUUUGAGAGGAUGAUCAGUCACACUGGAACUGAGACACGGUCCAGACUCCUACGGGAGGCAGCAGUGGGGAAUAUUGCACAAUGGACGAAAGUCUGAUGCAGCAACGCCGCGUGGAGGAUGACACAUUUCGGUGCGUAAACUCCUUUUAUAUGAGAAGAUAAUGACGGUAUUAUAUGAAUAAGCACCGGCUAACUCCGUGCCAGCCGCCGCCGUAA
rnacentral:rRNA from 1 species